rnacentral:rRNA from 1 species
AUUGAACGCUGGCGGCAGGCCUAACACAUGCAAGUCGAGCGGAUGAAGGGAGCUUGCUCCUGGAUUCAGCGGCGGACGGGUGAGUAAUGCCUAGGAAUCUGCCUGGUAGUGGGGGAUAACGUCCGGAAACGGGCGCUAAUACCGCAUACGUCCUGAGGGAGAAAGUGGGGGAUCUUCGGACCUCACGCUAUCAGAUGAGCCUAGGUUGGAUUAGCUAGUUGGUGGGGUAAGGGCCUACCAAGGCGACGAUCCGUAACUGGUCUGAGAGGAUGAUCAGUCACACUGGAACUGAGACACGGUCCAGACUCCUACGGGAGGCAGCAGUGGGGAAUAUUGGACAAUGGGCGAAAGCCUGAUCCAGCCAUGCCGCGUGUGUGAAGAAGGUCUUCGGAUUGUAAAGCACUUUAAGUUGGGAGGAAGGGCAGUAAGUUAAUACCUUGCUGUUUUGACGUUACCAACAGAAUAAGCACCGGCUAACUUCGUG